AGCAGCAGCCGCGGUAAUACGAACCGUGCGAACGUUAUUCGGAAUCACUAGGCUUAAAGCGCGUGUAGGCGGCCCGGCACGUCGAAUGUUGAAAUCCCCCGGCUCAACCGGGGAAGUGGCAUCGAUACGACCGGGCUGGAGGGGGGUAGGGGGAGCCGGAACUUCCGGUGGAGCGGUGAAAUGCGUUGAGAUCGGAAGGAACGCCCGUGGCGAAAGCGGGCUCCUGGACCCCACCUGACGCUGAGACGCGAAAGCCAGGGGAGCAAACAGGAUUAGAUACCCGCGUAGUCCCUGUCUCUUAUA
rnacentral:rRNA from 1 species